rnacentral:rRNA from 1 species
GAUGAACGCUGGCGGCGUGCCUAAUACAUGCAAGUCGAGCGAACAGACGAGGAGCUUGCUCCUCUGACGUUAGCGGCGGACGGGUGAGUAACACGUGGAUAACCUACCUAUAAGACUGGGAUAACUUCGGGAAACCGGAGCUAAUACCGGAUAAUAUAUUGAACCGCAUGGUUCAAUAGUGAAAGACGGUUUUGCUGUCACUUAUAGAUGGAUCCGCGCUUCAUUAGCUAGUUGGUAAGGUAACGGCUUACCAAGGCAACGAUGCGUAGCCGACCUGAGAGGGUGAUCGGCCACACUGGAGCUGAGACGCGCUCCAGACUCCUACGGGAGGCAGCGGUAGGGAAUCUACCGCAAUGGGCGAAAGCCUGACGGAGCAACGCCGCGUGAGUGAUGAAGGUCUUCGGAUCGUAAAACUCUGUUAUUAGGGAAGAACAAAUGUGUAAGUAACUAUGCGCGUCUUGACGGUACCUAAACAGAAAGCCCCGGCUAACUACGG